rnacentral:rRNA from 1 species
UAGGGAAUCUUCGGCAAUGGACGGAAGUCUGACCGAGCAACGCCGCGUGAGUGAAGAAGGUUUUCGGAUCGUAAAGCUCUGUUGUAAGAGAAGAACGAGUGUGAGAGUGGAAAGUUCACACUGUGACGGUAUCUUACCAGAAAGGGACGGCUAACUACGUGCCAGCAGCCGCGGUAAUACGUAGGUCCCGAGCGUUGUCCGGAUUUUUUGGGGGGUAAAGCGAGGCGCAGGCGGUUAGAUAAGUCUGAAGUUAAAGGCUGUGGCUUAACCAUAGUAGGCUUUGGAAACUGUUUAACUUGAGUGCAAGAGGGGAGAGUGGAAUUCCAUGUGUAGCGGUGAAAUGCGUAGAUAUAUGGAGGAACACCGGUGGCGAAAGCGGCUCUCUGGCUUGUAACUGACGCUGAGGCUCGAAAGCGUGGGGAGCAAACAGGAUUAGAUACCCUGGUAGUCCACGCUGUAAACGAUGAGUGGCUAGGUGUUAGACCCUUUCCGGGGUUUAGUGCCGUAGCUAACGCAUUAAGCACUCCGCCUGGGGAGUACGACCGCAAGGUUG